ensembl:lincRNA
CGCGGCGCGAGCGGCACCGCGGGAAGCACCGGGACGGUGGCGGCAGCAAGAAGAAGAAGAAGCGGUCGCGGUCCCGGGGCGAAAAGCGGUCUGGGGAUGGCAGUGAGAAGGCCCCGGCACCGGCUCCGCCACCCUCCGGCUCCACCUCUGGCGGUGACCGCGACAGCCGCCGCCGAGGGGCCGUGCCGCCCUCCAUCCAGGACCUCACGGACCACGACCUCUUCGCCAUCAAGCGGACCAUCACGGUGGGCCGGCUUGACAAGUCCGACCCCCGAGGACCCUCUCCCGCCCCGGCCUCGUCCCCUAAGCGGGAGGUCCUGUACGACUCGGAGGGACUGAGCGGCGAGGAGCGGGGCGGCAAGAGCAGCCAGAAGGACCGGCGCCGCUCGGGGGCCGCUUCCUCCUCCUCCUCCUCCCGGGAGAAGGGGUCUCGUCGGAAGGCUCUGGACGGGGGGGACCGGGAUCGGGACAGGGACAGAGAGAGGGACAGGGACAGGUCAUCCAAGAAGGCCCGGCCCCCCAAGGAGUCGGCGCCUUCCUCAGGGCCCCCGCCAAAGCCACCGGUCAGCAGCGGCUCCGGCUCUUCAUCCUCGUCCUCCUCCUGUUCCUCCCGGAAGGUGAAGUUGCAGUCCAAGGUGGCGGUGCUGAUCCGCGAGGGUGUCAGCAGCACCACCCCGGCCAAGGACGCCGCGUCGGCCGGCCUGGGCUCCAUCGGCGUCAAAUUCAGCCGCGACCGGGAGAGUCGCUCCCCUUUCCUAAAGCCCGACGAGCGGGCCCCGACUGAGGUGGCCAAAGCAGCUCCGGGCAGCACCAAGCCCAAAAAGACCAAGGUCAAGGCCAAGGCUGGGGCCAAGAAAGCCAAGGGGACCAAGGGAAAGACCAAGCCAUCCAAGACCAGGAAAAAGGUCCGCAGCGGAGGCGGCAGCGCGGGCAGUGGUGGCCCGGUGUCGCUGAAGAAGUCGAAAGCGGAUAGCUGCAGCCAGGCGGCGGGCACCAAGGGGGCAGAGGAGACUUCGUGGUCCGGAGAGGAACGGGCAGCCAAGGUCCCUAGCACCCCACCACCCAAGGUAGCCCCACCGCCCCCUGCCCUCACUCCGGACUCACAGACCGUGGACAGCAGCUGCAAGACACCCGAGGUCUCCUUCCUGCCUGAGGAGGCCACCGAGGAGGCUGGAGUCCGAGGUGGGGCAGAGGAGGAGGAGGAAGAGGAAGAAGAGGAGGAGGAAGAAGAGGAGGAGGAGGAACAGCAGCCUGCCACCACCACGGCCACCAGCACUGCUGCGGCCGCCCCAAGCACUGCCCCCAGCGCGGGGUCCACAGCCGGUGACUCGGGGGCGGAGGACGGGCCGGCUUCCCGUGUCUCCCAGCUGCCCACGCUGCCCCCGCCCAUGCCCUGGAACCUGCCAGCUGGUGUGGACUGCACCACCAGCGGCGUCCUGGCCUUGACUGCACUUCUCUUCAAGAUGGAAGAAGCCAACCUGGCGAGCCGAGCGAAGGCCCAGGAGCUGAUCCAGGCCACCAACCAGGUGGGCUCCCCUGGGGGAGAGUCCCUGCCGCCCCUUCUUUUGUGCAUUGCCUCGGGUUAGGAGAGGAACCGCAGGCCCGGCAGCUCUGGGGCAAGGUAUCGGCCUGAAGAGGAGCCUGUUGCCUCGGCUGUGGGGAAGUCAGCGUGGGAACAGCGGGGUGCACGUCCCCUCUUCCCUGUCCCCUCCCUUUACUCACCACCCCUCCAUCCUCUUCCCACAGAUCCUCAGCCACAGAAAGCCACCCUCAAGUCUGGGGGUGACCCCAGCUCCUGUGCCCACCUCUCUGGGUCUGCCCCCUGGCCCCUCCAGCUACCUGCUUCCUGGCAGCCUCCCCCUGGGGGGCUG